CGGGGCGUAGCUCAGCCUGGUUAGAGUGCUGCGUUUGGGACGCAGAAGUCGCCGGUUCGAAUCCGGCCGCCCCGACCU
rnacentral:tRNA from 1 species